GGCGACCUGGGCGGGUCUGGGCAUCCUUUUUUUUCCAAAUGAAGACAGACGAAGCUUGCACUCGCAGAUAAAUGUGGUGCGCGAGUGAAAUGAAGAGACAGAGAAACAAACACGAAGCUUGCACUCGCUGUCCAAUCUUCAAAAUUCAAAUACUCGGUCUUGAGCCUCUCUCUCAACUCAAGCUUGGAUUUUUUUCUUCGAUUUCGGCUGCUGCGUUGAUUCGAUUUUUUUUGUGCUUUUCUGCUAUUGAAGUUGGCAACGUCAGAUGAACAUCCAAGGCAGUUUCUUAGUAUGCCAGAAGAAGCCCAGCAGAUGG
rnacentral:lncRNA from 1 species